CCUACGGGUGGCAGCAGUGGGGAAUAUUGCACAAUGGGGGAAACCCUGAUGCAGCGACGCCGCGUGAGUGAAGAAGUAUUUCGGUACGUAAAGCUCUAUCAGCAGGGAAGAAAAUGACGGUACCUGACUAAGAAGCCCCGGCUAACUACGUGCCAGCAGCCGCGGUAAUACGUAGGGGGCAAGCGUUAUCCGGCUUGACUGGGUGUAAAGGGAGCGUAGACGGCAGCGCAAGUCUGGAGUGAAAUCCCAUGGCUUAACCAUGGAACUGCUUUGGAAACUGUGCAGCUAGAGUGCAGGAGAGGUAAGCGGAAUUCCUAGUGUAGCGGUGAAAUGUGUAGAUAUUAGGAGGAACACCAGUGGCGAAGGCGGCUUACUGGACUGUAACUGACGUUGAGGCUCGAAAGCGUGGGGAGCAAACAGGAUUAGAUACCCCUGUAGUC
rnacentral:rRNA from 1 species